GUCCUCAACCCCUCCCCAAGAAAAGGGUUCAUCACGUCCCCGGCGCUCCUUCCCCGACGCGUACCUGCCAUCUCCACCCUCCCCAACGCCAAUCUCUCGCCACACCUUCCUUCCUCGCGGCGCUCCAUCCCUACGGCGCUGCCGCUGCAUGGUCAACACGCCGCCAUGCUAGGCCAUGCACCUAUCUCUCUUGCAGCCGCCCUCCUGACCUGCCGCCUCUCCCACACCAUCUCUGCCUAGCCGUCUCACUAGACGAAGAUGCAUACGAAGUCGAGACGCGUCCGGCUAAGGACCAUAUGCAGGUCAUUGUGCGGUACAGAAACUGUACUCUGAAUUUGUCACUACAGGUUGCAUGCAAUUUCUCACUGUUAGUUUCAGAUUUUUCCUAUUUUCUAUGUGUAUAUAGUAGAUGCUUCUAUUAAUCUGUGGCAUCUACAUUCAUCUUAUCUAAUUCAGUUAAAGUUUACAUUGAAAAUUUCCCAGAUCUCUUUUUAAUGCUGUACUUACCCAGAGCCUUUCUCUCCUGCUAGGCUAAUUUACAGAGUUUUACUGACCCGCAGUCGCUGUAUGUCUUUUCUUCAUUCAUUUGGUCAACUGAAUUUGUCAUCCAUAGUGUAAUUGCCUUUUGGGCUCCCCUUUGCACCAUCAGUUCUAACAAAAGAUUUUAUUCAAUAGUUAUUUGCGGACAAGAUUUUGAAGCUCAGUGAUGAAGUACACUUUCCCCAACAUGCCACUUUAGAGAAUAUAUGUCAACUUCUCUAAAUCUCGAAGUGCACAUGGGCGUUGCAUUUAUUUAUUUAGUUCCGUGUAGAGAUUCAAUCAUCUCAAUGGAGCCUUACAUGAUUUGCUCUUUUACUGAUGGACUGAGGAGGUCCGAGCUGUUUUCUGGUCUACCAUGUGGCAGCCUCUCUCACCAUGUCUGCACAUAGUGUUCAGGUAUGAUUCAUACUGUCGACGAGGGCACGACGUUUUCUUGUACUGAAUUUUUUUGCAUACUGGUUGAGCUUGGUUUCAACUUUGACCUGAGUUGUUGGUAGGCAAGCCUGAUGCAGGUAUAUUGAUCUUAUGCAGUUCCAUUAGCUCUGGAGUUGUCCAGUAUACUGAUGGGGCCGACAUAUUUUGUUGAUGCAGGUUGGAGGUGAACAUGAACUCUGGCAAUACAAAAUACUCCUUGCGUCCCAAAAUUCUUGUCUUAGAUUUUCCUAGAUACAGAUGUAUCUUAUAUUAAAAUGUGACUUGAUACAUCCGUAUUUAGACAAAACUAAGACAAGAAUUCUGGGACGGAGGGAGUAGCAGAUAUAAAAUAACUGCAGCUCAGGCCAUUUAUUUCUACAACAACCAAGGAACAAGUCUGUUUUUUAAUGCGACCCUGGCCAAGCAAUUUAUGCUUAUAAGGGUGCUCUCUAUUUUUCAGAGGUGCGAGAGCGCCCAUAAUUCAGGGCAAAAAAGCUAGAUAAAGUGGAAAAUUUUGUAAGAGUGGUAUUUGAAGCUAGUGAUAGCAUGUUGAAGGAUGUUGAUUGUGGCUAUCCAACUUCAACAACGUGCUUGCAACUCAUGAGUGGCUAUCCAACUUCAAUAACAUUGUGGCUAUCUCAAUGUGAAUCCCACAGGCGGAGUUGUGGUCAAGUCCAACAAUUCAACUUCUGAAGAUAACAUGUAUUCCAAACCCAAGAGGGAACGAAUUACAACUACUUUUUUCAAUGUCUUAUUCAAAGUACGCAUCCUGUCAUGUUCACUCGGACGAUGACUGUACCUAUUAUAACUCCUUUUAAGAAAUUUGACAUCCUGCAUUCUUUACUACA